AUGAGAAACAAGAAUGCCAUCCAGAGGGAGGGAAAAAAAAAGGAUUUCUAAAAUCCACGCUGGGCUGUGCAUUAGGACAACCCACACUUGGUACCUAGGAUUCCUUUCCAGAUGAAGAACCCCAUGGACACCCCCUCUGUACCACCCUGGAAGGGCCAGGAGACAGCAGCAGGAUGAUUCCACUUGCAGUGGUGAGACCAAAAAGGGACAGAGCGUGGUGGGAAAGGAGAGAGCCAUGAGAAGAGCAGGAGGGGAAAGACAGGAGAUGAAAAUCUCAGCAGAAAAGACUCCAGGCAUGUUCGUGGUGAGACAGCCUCACCAAGAAAAGAUGAGCAAAUGAAAGUUGGGAAGACCCUGGCUUAAAAAUAUCCCUGCAACCUGCAAUGAUCCCCCUUGUGUGGGCUGAACCCCGCAGAGCUGAUGGACCUGGCAGCGCUGAUGGAACAGGGAUACUCCUGCUCUGUCUCCAGGUGCAGGGAAGGCAUCUGGUGGGCUUUGAGUGUGCUGGGAUUUCAGCGGCUGUCACUGAACGCCGGCCAAUGGCCAUUUUUGAAGAUGGUGGAAUCCAAAGAACAAUCCAUCCCACUCCACAGCUGAAAUCCACAGAUAUUUUCUUAAAAGGGAGAAACCUCUUACUCUUCCCUACUCCUGGUCUGAGAAAUGGCUGCCUGGUUUUGGCUGAAGGCUGAGCAUUAGUGCAAAACAUUCAGCACAGAAAACUUCUGCCCGAAUGUUCCAGAGUUCGGAGUGUUAAAAGCAAGGUAAUACAUCUUCUAGUGGGAAGCUCUGGGUGAUUUACUAACCCAUCCUGGAGUGCUACCUAGAAGUUAAAAAUCAUAUGUCGCCAUCACUCAGUGGAAUUAACUGCUCCAGAGAGCAGCUUAGCUCAGCUGAGUGCCAGGCAGGAAGAGGAACAAUUUGAAAGAUCCAAUUUCCAGAUUAGACUCAGCCAUGUUUUGCUUGUUCUUCCCCAAAAAAAUCUUUUAAACAAACAAGCCAUCAAAGAUACCAGAAAAUCCAUUUAGUUUCCUUAGGGUUUCUGAAGAGUGGAGGAGACA